UUAAUUUCUGAUUCAAUUAGGUCUGGCUCUAACCCAACCUGAACAUCCCCUAGGCCUCAGGAAUGACAUUUAAUUUUGAAAGCAUUUUUCCAGGCUUGGCAAGGCUCCUGGAUUCAGAAUACCCACUCCACUCCUGGUAAAGAAAAGAUGUCCAUGGGUCCCCACUGCUCAUCCUUGGUACACACCGGAACCAUCCUCGGGGCAGAU
rnacentral:lncRNA from 1 species